rnacentral:rRNA from 1 species
CAAUAGCGUAUAUUAAAGUUGUUGCGGUUAAAAAGUUCGUAGUUGGAUUUCUGCCAAGGACGACCGGUCCGCCCUCUGGGUGAGUAUCUGGCUUGGCCUGGGCAUCUUCUUGGAGAACGUUGCUGCACUUCGCUGUGUGGCGCGGUAUCCAGGACCCUUACUUUGAGGAAAUUAGAGUGUUUCAAGCAGGCUUUCGCCUUGAAUACAUUAGCAUGGAAUAAUAAGAUAGGACCUCGGUUCUAUUUUGUUGGUUUCUAGAGCCGGGGUAAUGAUUAAUAGGGAUAGUUGGGGGCAUUCGUAUUUAACUGUCAGAGGUGAAAUUCUUGGAUUUGUUAAAGACGGACUGCUGCGAAAGCAUUUGCCAAGGAUGUUUNCAUUG